rnacentral:lncRNA from 1 species
AACGUAAACAAAAUAAAAAACAACUAGAUAGGACGAAGAUCUCAGUCCUCCUAAACAGAUAGUAACUGAAUUAUCUAUAUAGAGCCGAGUACGAACGAGCCGACUUCAGCUCGUAUUCGGCUCAUUUAUUAAACGAGUGAUCGAUUUCGAGUUCAUUUCUUGCCGAACACGAACUGGCUCGCGGACAGCGAGCUGAUUCCGAGCCCCAUUCCUACAUCAGAUAAAU